rnacentral:rRNA from 1 species
UUUCCUUUUCCUACACUCAUGUCUUUGCAGAAUUUUUAAAAUUCAAAAAAAGAUGCUCCAAAAAAAAAAAACAAUGUGCUUGCUUUAGAAAAACUUAGAACAUUUUUUUUUUUUCAUCCCAAAAAUCAGACCCCCUUGCUGCAUAGUACGGCUGUUGUGAUGGGUAGUGCCACCGAGUGGGCAAACCACAUUCAGAGGCUGGUGAAGGGGGUAGACAGCGGCCGGAGUGUGCUGGUGGAGAGGGCAAACCACAUUGACAUGCUGCUGAGAGGGGCGAGAUCGAAUGAUAGGCUGGUGAGAGGGUAGGCAGCAGCCGCAGUGCUGGUGGAGAGGGGGACACACCACCAAAGUCUCAAAAUGAUAGAAAAUUUUGUGCAAGCGGCCGAGGUCUCCAGAGAGACGGCUGAGAAAAACGGUGUCUCGAGGAAGGGGGUCGGUGUGGUGGGGGGUAGUGCGCGCGUUGUCUGCCGUCUCUCAAAUUGCACACUGCCGGCUUUCCGUGGUUUUUAUAAUACUCCCUCCCCGCACACUCCUAUAUGUGUCAGGGGGGUGACAGUUGGUCUGAGACGUGAUGUCUCAGGGGGCUGUGUUGGUGAUGGUAGUGUGUGUCUCGCGGCGCAUAGUACUAGUGCCGGCACUGGCAGGCUGUGUUUACACCCGAAUGAUUCUAGCAAUGGUGUAGUGCUCGCGGUGCGAGUUCUUUAUAUCAUUGCGCCGAUCCAUAGAUAUUGCUGAUGAUUCGCGUCGAGGCGCUUGAGUCUGAAGCUUUGGAAGUUUCGGUUGUUGCAUCUCUACUUUUGAGAUACUAAUGAUGUUGCGGUAUUGGUCUUGUUGUCGUGGGACUUGUUUACGAGAAUAAACCCCUGUAUGAGUGUCCCAUCUCACGAUUAGACAUUCUUAGGAAAACUUCUCGCUAGACUAUAUGUCUGCGUAAUACCUGAUUGAUUCUGUCAGCGCGAUAUGCUCAAGUAAAAGAUUAAGCCAUGCAUGCUUUGAUUCAUCAAUGAAAUUGCGUACGGCUCAUUAGAGCAGAUAUCACCUUAUCCGGGAUCCGGAUCCUCAUAUGGAUAACUGCGGAAAUACUGGAGCUAAUACAUGCAACUAUACCCCAACGCAAGGCGGGGUGCAAUUAUUAGAACAGACCAAACGUUUUCGGACGUUGUUUGUUGACUCUGAAUAAAGCAGUUUACUGUCAGUUUCGACUGACUCUAUCCGGAAAGGGUGUCUGCCCUUUCAACUAGAUGGUAGUUUAUUGGACUACCAUGGUUGUUACGGGUAACGGAGAAUAAGGGUUCGACUCCGGAGAGGGAGCCUUAGAAACGGCUACCACGUCCAAGGAAGGCAGCAGGCGCGAAACUUAUCCACUGUUGAGUAUGAGAUAGUGACUAAAAAUAUAAAGACUCAUCCUUUUGGAUGAGUUAUUUCAAUGAGUUGAAUACAAAUGAUUCUUCGAGUAGCAAGGAGAGGGCAAGUCUGGUGCCAGCAGCCGCGGUAAUUCCAGCUCUCCUAGUGUAUCUCGUUAUUGCUGCGGUUAAAAAGCUCGUAGUUGGAUCUAGGUUACGUGCCGCAGUUCGCAAUUUGCGUCAACUGUGGUCGUGACUUCUAAUUUGCUGGUUUGAGGUUGGGUUCGCCCUUCAACUGCCAGCAGGUUUACCUUGAAUAAAUCAGAGUGCUCAAUACAAGCGCUUGCUUGAAUAGCUCAUCAUGGAAUAAUGAAACAGGACUUCGGUUCUUUUUGUUGGUUCUAGAACUGAUUUAAUGGUUAAGAGGGACAAACCGGGGGCAUUCGUAUCAUUACGCGAGAGGUGAAAUUCGUGGACCGUAGUGAGACGCCCAACAGCGAAAGCAUUUGCCAAGAAUGUCUUCAUUAAUCAAGAACGAAAGUCAGAGGUUCGAAGGCGAUUAGAUACCGCCCUAGUUCUGACCGUAAACGAUGCCAUCUCGCGAUUCGGAGGGUUUUUGCCCUGCCGAGGAGCUAUCCGGAAACGAAAGUCUUUCGGUUCCGGGGGUAGUAUGGUUGCAAAGCUGAAACUUAAAGAAAUUGACGGAAGGGCACCACAAGGCGUGGAGCUUGCGGCUUAAUUUGACUCAACACGGGAAAACUCACCCGGUCCGGACACCAUUAGGACUGACAGAUUGAAAGCUCUUUCUCGAUUUGGUGGUUGGUGGUGCAUGGCCGUUCUUAGUUGGUGGAGUGAUUUGUCUGGUUUAUUCCGAUAACGAGCGAGACUCUAGCCUGCUAAAUAGUUGGCGAAUCUUCGGGUUCGUAUAACUUCUUAGAGGGAUAAGCGGUGUUUAGCCGCACGAGAUUGAGCGAUAACAGGUCUGUGAUGCCCUUAGAUGUCCGGGGCUGCACGCGUGCUACACUGGUGGAGUCAGCGGGUUUUUCCUAUGCCGAAAGGUAUCGGUAAACCGUUGAAAUUCUUCCAUGUCCGGGAUAGGGUAUUGUAAUUAUUGCCCUUAAACGAGGAAUGCCUAGUAAGUGUGAGUCAUCAGCUCACGUUGAUUACGUCCCUGCCCUUUGUACACACCGCCCGUCGCUAUCCGGGACUGAACUGAUUCGAGAAGAGUGGGGACUGUCGCUUCGAGGUUUAACGACUUCGUUGUUGCGGAAACCAUUUUUAUCGCAUUGGUUUGAACCGGGUAAAAGUCGUAACAAGGUAGCUGUAGGUGAACCUGCAGCUGGAUCAUCGCCGUGCCUCUGUGCCCGUGAUAUCCACAAACCUUAAGAUGCUCGACUGGCUUCACGGUCAGUUGAGUGUCGAAAUGUCAACGUUCCAGUUGAGAUGCCACAACAACUGGCAAGAGUAGUGACUGUCCGACCCAUGGAACGUGGCAGUUAUUCCAAAACUACUUUUGUGUCAGGGCUUAAUGAUGAGUGAAAAGUGUUUGCUGUUCUGCAGUAGACGUUGUUCACGAGUCGUCUCAACACAACCGCUAUGUGUCUCCUGGUGGCUAUAUGCGUCUAGGCUUCUUCUUCUUUGCGGAGAGGAAGUUAGUUGACGAUAGUCUUGAUGAUCGUGGUUCGGUUUCGGCCGAGCCAAGGCGCCAAAAACACAUAAGCACCUUUUCAUAUUUGAAUCAGUACACUGAUUGCCAAAAGUCUUCACGGACAUGCGGUGAUUUGUUGUUGAGAUUUGCAUCUCGAUAAUACGUACUAGCUUCAGCGAUGGAUCGGUUGCAUCGAGUAUCGAUGAAGAACGCAGCUUGCUGCGUUACUUACCACGAAUUGCAGACGCUUAGAGUGGUGAAAUUUCGAACGCAUAGCACCAACUGGGCCUCCAGUUGGUACGUCUGGUUCAGGGUUGUUUAACUCAAUGCCUUAGGCUUCUCUUCGGAGAGUCUUCGGCUUGUCGGGCAACAUUAGUGAGCUGAGAUUCGCGUCUCGGCAUACUGAUCUUGUCCUAGUCCAGAAGCAUCACAAGUCAAGACAGAGCUUCACCGUUCUGUCUUGUAAUGUGACGCGCUACUCUUAUAUCGGAGGAGCUGCCAAAUGGCGUCCGACUUGACUCGGCUGAUCAUCAAGACGUGUUUAACUGCGUGUCUUAUGAUGUGAAGCUACUGCAUCUAUGUCAGAAUGUGUCGUCGCUCCUUUCGAAUACUGGGAUUCGUCUAGUCUCGUGUGUGUGUUGAUAUCGAAUUAAUUUUCGAUUGAUGCGGCGCUGAGAAGAGAGACGGUGCGUGUCUUGCUAAUCUCAACCUGAACUCAGUCGUGAUUACCCGCUGAACUUAAGCAUAUCAUUUAGCGGAGGAAAAGAAACUAAAAAGGAUUCCCUUAGUAACGGCGAGUGAAACGGGAAGAGCCCAGCGCCGAAUCGAUCAGUCUUUGGCUGCUUCGAAAUGUGGCGUAUAGGUGUAAGUUUCCAGCAGUGUCGUAUGUCCGAAGUCCUUACGAUUGAGGCCAUAAACCAGAGAGGGUGCGAGCCCCGUUCUGGAUAGCGGCACUGUUGGUUCGCUUGCUCCUUGGAGUCGGGUUGCUUGAAAGUGCAGCCUAAAGUGGGUGAUAAACUUCAUCUAAGGCUAAAUAUCGACUCGAUUGCGAUAGCGAACAAGUACCGUGAGGGAAAGUUGCAAAGGACUUUGAAGAGAGAGUUCAAGAGAACGUGAAAUCGCUGGAGUGGAACCGGAGACAGUUGAUGUUGCUUGGAGACAAGCUUGGUGACUGGUCGCUUAGUUGUGAUCGUUGCCGGGUGUCGUUUCCUAUGCUACGCCGACGGCGUUGGCUGCUCGUUCUAGCCCGACAGUGUUGCCCAUCUCGCAAGAGAAGGUGUCUUGCUGGCGGUAGUGGGUUCGUGGCGGCUAGCGUUUAGUUACGCUAGUGUGUGUGACGUCGGUGUGAAAGUCGACGACGUUUCCGACCCGUCUUGAAACACGGAUUGCGGAGUGCUUGUCUACUGCGAGUCAAAGGGUGUUAAAACCUUGCGGCGAAAUGAAAGUAAAGGUCAGUCUCGAAUUGGCCGACGUGGGAUCUGUGUUCUUCGGAGUGCAGCGCACCACGGCCCUGUGCGUGUCACUUGUGACUGUGCAGAGGUUGAGCAGUUGGCAAACGACCCGAAAGAUGGUGAACUAUGCCUGAGCAGGAUGAAGCCAGAGGAAACUCUGGUGGAAGUCCGUAUCGGUUCUGACGUGCAAAUCGAUCGAUAGACUUGGGUAUAGGGGCGAAAGACUAAUCGAACCAUCUAGUAGCUGGUUCCUUCCGAAGUUUCCCUCAGGAUAGCUGGAUCUCAGGCAGUUAUAUUCGGUAAAGCUAAUGAUUAGAGGCCUUGGGGACGUAAUGUCCUCAACCUAUUCUCAAACUUUCAAUGGAUAUGAAGUUGCAGUUUCUUUAGUGAACUGUCAACGUGAAUGCGAGGUCCAAGUGGGCCAUUUUUGGUAAGCAGAACUGGCGCUGUGGGAUGAACCAAACGUGGAGUUAAGGUGCCUAACUUCUCGCUCAUGAGACCCCAUAAAAGGUGUUGGUUGAUAUUGACAGCAGGACGGUGGCCAUGGAAGUCGGUAUC